rnacentral:rRNA from 1 species
GAUGAACGCUGGCGGCGUGCCUAAUACAUGCAAGUCGAGCGAACAGACGAGGAGCUUGCUCCUCUUACGUUAGCGGCGGACGGGUGAGUAACACGUGGAUAACCUACCUAUAAGACUGGGAUAACUUCGAGAAACCGGAGCCAAUACCGGAUAAUAUAUUGAACCGCAUGGUUCAAUAGUGAAAGCCGGUUUUGCUGUCACUUAUAGAUGGAUCCUCGCCGCAUUAGCUAGUUGGUAAGGUAACGGCUUACCAAGGCAACGAUGCGUAGCCGACCUGAGAGGAUGAUCGGCCACACUGGAACUGAGACACGGUCCAGACUCCUACGGGAGGCAGCAGUAGGGAAUCUUCGGCAAUGGGCGAAAGCCUGACGGAGCAACGCCGCGUGAGUGAUGAAGGUCUUCGGAUCGUAAAGCUCUGUUAUUAGGGAAGAACAAAUGUGUAAGUAACUAUGCACGUCUUGACGGUACCUAAUCAGAAAGCCACGGCUAACUACGUG